GAUGAACGCUGGCGGCGUGCCUAAUACAUGCAAGUCGAGCGAACGGACGAGAAGCUUGCUUCUCUGAUGUUAGCGGCGGACGGGUGAGUAACACGUGGAUAACCUACCUAUAAGACUGGGAUAACUUCGGGAAACCGGAGCUAAUACCGGAUAAUAUUUUGAACCGCAUGGUUCAAAAGUGAAAGACGGUCUUGCUGUCACUUAUAGAUGGAUCAGCGCUGCAUUAGCUAGUUGGUAAGGUAACGGCUUACCAAGGCAACGAUGCAUAGCCGACCUGAGAGGGAGAUCGGACAGACUGGAACUGAGACACGGUCCAGACACCUACGGGAGGACGCAGUCGGGAAUCUUCCGCAAUGGGCGAAAGCCUGACGGAGCAACGCCGCGUGAGUGAUGAAGGUCUUCGGAUCGUAAAACUCUGUUAUUAGUGAAGAACAUAUGUGUAAGUAACUGUGCACAUCUUGACGGUACCUAAUCAGAAAGCCACGGCUAACUACGUG
rnacentral:rRNA from 1 species